AAACUACUACCUCUGUCCGAAAAUACUUGUCAUCAAAAUGGACAAAAAAGGAUGUAUUUAAAAUUAAAAUAUAUCUAGAUACAUCCCCUUUUAUUCAUUUUGAUGAUAAGUAUUUCCGAACGAAGGGAGUACGAC
rfam:Triticum aestivum genome assembly, contig: Triticum_aestivum_CS42_TGACv1_scaffold_556789_7AL